rnacentral:rRNA from 1 species
GACGAACGCUGGCGGCGUGCUUAACACAUGCAAGUCGAACGGAAAGGCCUCAGCUUGCUGGGGUACUCGAGUGGCGAACGGGUGAGUAACACGUGGGUGAUCUGCCUUGCACUCUGGGAUAAGCUUGGGGAACUGGGUCUAAUACCGGAUAUGAACUGCCUUUAGUGUGGUGGUUGGAAAGUUUUUUCGGUGCAAGAUGAGCUCGCGGCCUAUCAGCUUGUUGGUGGGGUAAUGGCCUACCAAGGCGUCGACGGGUAGCCGGCCUGAGAGGGUGUACGGCCACAUUGGGACUGAGAUACGGCCCAGACUCCUACGGGAGGCAGCAGUGGGGAAUAUUGCACAAUGGGCGGAAGCCUGAUGCAGCGACGCCGCGUGGGGGAUGACGGCCUUCGGGUUGUAAACUCCUUUCGACAGGGACGAAGCUUUUUGUGACGGUACCUGUAGAAGAAGCACCGGCUAACUACGUG